rnacentral:lncRNA from 1 species
CGACAUUUAAACAAAAUAGUUUUAAUAAAAUCAAUUAUUAGAGUUUCACCAAAACGUAAAACUUCAAAAAACCAAAUAGUCAUGCAAAUACGCAGCGGGAAUUAAACAAAGUCCAACAUAAUAUGUCAAUAACAACUCCAACAAAACAAAACAAAACACAAUAUCACACAAUGAAGGAAGACAUCCCAUCCCCAGUGCUACAUAUCAGAGCGACUCCUCUAAGACCCAAUGAUAAAAGUUAAAUGAGGCAUAUACG